rnacentral:rRNA from 1 species
AGUGAACGCUGGCGGCGUGCCUAACACAUGCAAGUCGAACGAUGAUGGAGGAGCUUGCUCUUCCUGAUUAGUGGCGCACGGGUGAGUAUACCAUAGAUAAUGUGCCCCUUAGUUCGGGACAGCCACUGGAAACGGUGAUUAAUACCGGAUACUCCUUCUUGCCAUAAGGUAAGUCGGGAAAGUUUUUUCGCUAAGGGAUCAGUCUAUGUCCUAUCAGGUAGUUGGUGAGGUAACGGCUCACCAAGCCUAUGACGGGUAUCUGGUUUGAGAGGAUGAUCAGACACACUGGAACUGAGACACGGUCCAGACUCCUACGGGAGGCAGCAGUGAGGAAUAUUGCACAAUAGAGGAAACUCUGAUGCAGCAACGCCGCGUGGAGGAUGACGCAUUUCGGUGUGUAAACUCCUUUUAAGAGGGAAGAUUAUGACGGUACCUCUUGAAUAAGCACCGGCUAACUCCGUGCCAGCCGCCGCAGUAACAC